rnacentral:rRNA from 1 species
AAAGCCAAUGCAUGCUUUUACAGUAUGGAAAUUGGUGAUUUAUAAUAACUUGGCAAAUCGCAAAGUGAAAACAGGCGAUAAAUCAUUCAAGUUUCUGACCUAUCAGCUUUCGACGGUAUGGUAUUGGCUUACCGUGGCAGUGACGGUUAACGGGGGAUUAGGGUUCGAUUCCGGAGAGGGAGCCUGAGAAACGGCUACCACAUCUAAGGAAGGCAGCAGGCGCGCAAAUUACCCAAUUCUAACAGUUUGAGAGAGGUAGUAACAAGAAAUAACAAUACAAGGCAAUUAAAAUGCUUUGUAAUUGGAAUGAUAGAAAUUUAAACCCUUUUUAAAGUAUCAAUUGGAGGGCAAGUCUGGUGCCAGCAGCCGCGGUAAUUCCAGCUCCAAUAGCGUAUAUUAAAAUUGUUGCAGUUAAAAAGCUCGUAGUUGAAGUUCUGCUAAAAGUAACCGGUCUGCUUUUAAUAAAAGUGGUAUCUUGGUGUGUAUUUAGCAAUGAUGUCCUUUGAAGUGUUUUA